rnacentral:lncRNA from 1 species
AUGGCUGGUGUCCAGAGCACUGAACAUUGCAUUAGCAUGGAAGGAACUGGCCUAAAGAUUUUAUUUUUCCAGGCUAUCCUAAGAUCUUACCAAAACGGGAUAAAGCUUCACAGACUGUGGGACAAAGGAAUUUCCCAGAGGAAAAGAAGCAUCUCAAAGCUGUAUUUUUUUUGUUUUGUUUUUCACACAGAGACAGAAAAAUAUACAUAUUUCCCUUCAAAAGAAGGAGAAAUCCUCAACCGUAUCCCUUCAUCCACAUAUGUCUUGCAAGUAUCCCAGGGAUGGAUGUAUCCCAGAUGGUGUAGUACCACCUCUGUCUUGAGUAGAAGAUACCAGUGUUUUUUUUCUUGUUUUAUUUUUAUAAUGUUCUAUUAAUAAUGAAGGAUGCAUAAUAUUAAUGUCAGGGUGAUUUAAUACAACUGUAGCAACAUGUUCUUUUUCUGUCUUCUAUGUUUUUUAUUAUUUUUGUAAGGAAAUAAAAGGGAGAUUUUAUUUCUAAGCUGUGUUAAA